rnacentral:lncRNA from 1 species
CCUCCUAUGCGCAGGCUACACCCAUUAUGGAAGAGAGCUUCCUCCUAGAUGCCAGAGGAUGCCAGUCUUCUCCUGGCUGCCUUCCAUUCAAGAUGCAGAACUCUCAGCUCCUCCAGCACCGCCUCUGCCUGGACUUGCCUGGAUGCUGCCAUGCUCCCUUCCGUGAUAAUGGAGUGAACUUCUAAACCGGAUCUCUCUGCAUAGUCCUGGCUUCCUAAAGGUGUGCGCCACCAUUUAAUUUUAUUUUGAGACAGGCUCUUGCCAUGUAGCACAAGCUGGAUGCAGAUUGUCCUCCAUCAGCCUCUCUGUGCUAAGAUUACAGGCUUUUUGGGAAGGCGAUGCCAAAGCUGCUGAGCCAUAGAAGCUCCGCUCUCCGGAUACACUUGCUGCCUUUAUGAGGGCUUCCGAACCAGUGCUCCCCAUGGCCUCUUUGCUACCACCUUGCCCUUGCACCAUCUGUCCUGUGCACUUUGAUCUUGGAUUCCCCUGCCUCCAGAGCUGUGGGCCACCCCAUUAUUUGAGUCACAGCAGCCCAGUUUCAGAUUCUGUAUGAUGGAGGCACAAAAUGGAUGGACUAAGGUGACCAGAGGUACCACGGAGCAGACACGCACCGAGUGGAACUGGAUGGUGGAGGCUGGGUUGUUUCGGUGAACACUAGGAAAAGCCUGUCCUGCUGUAAUGGUUGUGAUGAGACCUGAGUAGAAGAGGAGGGUGUCGGGGACUUCUACUCUUCUUGGAGAUUCCUUAAAUGGUUGUGACCACAGAUUAAGUGGAAAUACGGACAGGAGACACUGCUUGGACAAGGCGCCACACACUGAGGUAUACUGUAAACUGAAGGAUGUGCCAAUUUUUUAUCGAGUGGCAAAGAACUUAGCUGAAUUGCACCUCUGUCCCAGGAUCGGCCAAAAGAGUCAUGUGUCAUUUGGGGAGCUGUGCAACUUCUUUUAACUUCAUAAGGUGAAACAGAGGAAAAUAAAAGGAAUUUAAAUACGGAAUUUAUUGCUUGCUUGCUUGAUUUUCAAGACAGG